GUAUAUAAAAGGCACGUGCAAAGUAAGCCUAAGAAGAUUAUGUUGUCGCAAAUAUUGGGGCAUGGGAAGGUCGAAGGGUGGUCCUAGAAUAAAGAUGAUGGUAAAUCUAGAGGAUGGUAGAGUUGCACCCUUGGGUGUCUGCAUUAUUAUAUAUAUAUACAUCAUUGUAAAUCUGAGUCUGUCUUGGACCCAAAGAUGGUAGCG
rnacentral:lncRNA from 1 species